CCCUUAGACGUUCUGGGCCGCACGCGCGCUACACUGACCAGUGCAACAAGCAUCCGUCCUUGGCCGACAGGCCCGGGCAAUCUUUGAACGCUGGUCGUGAUGGGGAUAGACUUUUGCAAUUUUUGGUCUUCAACGAGGAAUUCCUAGUAAACGCAAGUCAUCAACUUGCAUUGAUUACGUCCCUGCCCUUUGUACACACCGCCCGUCGCACCUACCGAUUGAAUGGUCCGGUGAAGCCUCCGGAUUGGCACGCACCUCGGUGCCGCCGAGAAGUUGGCUAAACCUUACCAUUUAGAGGAAGGUGAAGUCGUAACA
rnacentral:rRNA from 1 species